rnacentral:rRNA from 1 species
AGCAGCCGCGGUAAUUCCAGCUCCAAUAGCGUAUAUUAAAGUUGUUGCAGUUAAAAAGCUCGUAGUUGAAUUUCGGGGUUAGUAGGCUGGUCGUGCCACCGGUACGUACUGGUCUUACUGAUUCCUCCUUCCUGAUGAACUGUAAUGCCAUUAAUUUGGUGUUGCAGGGAAUCUGGACUGUUACUUUGAAAAAAUUAGAGUGUUUAAAGCAGGCUAACGCUUGAAUACAUUAGCAUGGAAUAAUGAAAUAGGACGUUCGAUCCUAUUUUGUUGGUUUCUAGGAUUGACGUAAUGAUUAAUAGGGAUAGUUGGGGGCAUUAGUAUUCAAUUGUCAGAGGUGAAAUUCUUGGAUUUAUUGAAGACUAACUACUGCGAAAGCAUUUGCCAAGGAUGUUUUCAUUAAUCAAGAACGAAAGUUAGGGGAUCGAAGACGAUCAGAUACCGUCGUAG